GCGCCCGUAGCUCAGUUGGAUAGAGCGUCGGACUUCGAAUCCGCAGGCCGUGCGUUCAAGUCGCACCGGGCGCG
rnacentral:tRNA from 1 species